UUGUCCGGAAUUACUGGGUGUAAAGGGAGUGUAGGCGGGAUAUCAAGUCAGAAGUGAAAAUUACGGGCUCAACUCGUAACCUGCUUUUGAAACUGACAUUCUUGAGUGAAGUAGAGGCAAGCGGAAUUCCUAGUGCAGCGGUGAAAUGCGUAGAUAUUAGGAGGAACACCAGUGGCGAAGGCGGCUUGCUGGGCUUUUACUGACGCUGAGGCUCGAAAGCGUGGGGAGCAAACAGGAUUAGAUACCCUGGUAGUCCACGCCGUAAACGAUGAUUACUAGGUGUGGGGGGAUUGACCCCUUCCGUGCCGGAGUAAACACAAUAAGUAAUCCACCUGGGGAGUACGACCGCCAGGUUGAAACUCACGGGAAUUGACGGGGGCCCG
rnacentral:rRNA from 1 species